rnacentral:rRNA from 1 species
CCUACGGGUAGCAGCAGUGAGGAAUAUUGGUCAAUGGGCGCGAGCCUGAACCAGCCAAGCCGCGUGAGGGAUGAAGGUUCUAUGGAUCGUAAACCUCUUUUAUAAGGGAAUAAAGUGUGGGACGUGUCCUAUUUUGUAUGUACCUUAUGAAUAAGGAUCGGCUAACUCCGUGCCAGCAGCCGCGGUAAUACGGAGGAUCCGAGCGUUAUCCGGAUUUAUUGGGUUUAAGGGGUGCGUAGGCGGCCUUUUAAGUCAGCGGUGAAAGUCUGUGGCUCAACCAUAGAAUGGCCUGUGAAACUGGUGGGCUUGAGUAUGUUUGAGGCAGGCGGAAUGCGUGGUGUAGCGGUGAAAUGCUUAGAUAUCACGCAGAACCCCGAUUGCGAAGGCAGCCUGCCAAGCCAUGACUGACGCUGAUGCACGAAAGCGUGGGGAUCAAACAGGAUUAGAUACCCUUGUAGUC